UACGUAGGGACCAAGCGUUGUCCGGAAUUACUGGGCGUAAAGAGCUCGUAGGUGGUUUGUCGCGUUGUUCGUGAAAACUCACAACUCAAUUGUGGGCGUGCGGGCGAUACGGGCAGACUGGAGUACUGCAGGGGAGACUGGAAUUCCUGGUGUAGCGGUGGAAUGCGCAGAUAUCAGGAGGAACACCGGUGGCGAAGGCGGGUCUCUGGGACGGUACUGACGCUGAGACGCGAAAGCGUGGGGAGCGAACAGG
rnacentral:rRNA from 1 species